rnacentral:rRNA from 1 species
AGUGAACGCUGGCGGUAGGCCUAACACAUGCAAGUCGAACGGCAGCACAGUAAGAGCUUGCUCUUACGGGUGGCGAGUGGCGGACGGGUGAGGAAUACAUCGGAAUCUACUUUUUCGUGGGGGAUAACGUAGGGAAACUUACGCUAAUACCGCAUACGACCUACGGGUGAAAGCAGGGGAUCUUCGGACCUUGCGCGAUUGAAUGAGCCGAUGUCGGAUUAGCUAGUUGGCGGGGUAAAGGCCCACCAAGGCGACGAUCCGUAGCUGGUCUGAGAGGAUGGUAAGCCACACUGGAACUGAGACACGGUCCAGGCUCCUGCGGGAGGGAGCAGUGGGGAAUGUUGGACAAUGGGCGCAAACCUGAUCCAGCCAUACCGCGUGGGUGAAGAAGGCCUUCGGGUUGUAAAGCCCUUUUGUUGGGAAAGAAAAGCAGCAGGUUAAUACCCCGCUGUUCUGACGGUACCCAAAGAAUAAGCACCGGCUAACCUCGUG